UCCUCCAGCCAAGAGGAAUUUGAACGCUUUUCCCGAAUAGUGGAAAAUGAACGUCUCAUGGAGCUAGGGUCUGUCACCACCUGGAAACAUGAGCCCCCAGAAGAACACAAGAAAUAAACACACAGCCAAGCUUGUGGGACUUGAUUCCAUCCCAUUGCUUCUCACUUCCAGUGGAUGAUUCUGCCUCCUCCAUGUGAAGAACGGCUUUCAGAAGAGACACUUGCAUCUCUAAGGUCUCAGUUGUAUGUAGAUUGCUGUUCCUGGAAUUGUCCAUCAUCAGCUGGGUCCAUACAGGCCAACUGGAAUAUUUCCUGCGGGGAGAGUGGACUCAUCGAAGGGUAUCCACUCCGGCCACUCCUGCAAAGCAAUGC